CCUACGGGUGGCAGCAGUCGAGAAUCAUUCACAAUGGGGGAAACCCUGAUGGUGCGACGCCGCGUGGGGGAAUGAAGGUCUUCGGAUUGUAAACCCCUGUCAUGUGGGAGCAAAUUAAAAAGAUAGUACCACAAGAGGAAGAGACUGCUAACUCUGUGCCAGCAGCCGCGGUAAUACAGAGGUCUCAAGCGUUGUUCGGAAUCACUGGGCGUAAAGCGUGCGUAGGCUGUUUCGUAAGUCGUGUGUGAAAGGCGCGGGCUCAACCCGCGGACGGCACAUGAUACUGCGAGACUAGAGUAAGGGAGGGGGAACCGGAAUUCUCGGUGUAGCAGUGAAAUGCGUAGAUAUCGAGAGGAACACUCGUGGCGAAGGCGGGUUCCUGGACAUUAACUGACGCUGAGGCACGAAGGCCAGGGGAGCGAAAGGGAUUAGAUACCCGAGUAGUC
rnacentral:rRNA from 1 species